rnacentral:rRNA from 1 species
CAGCCGCCGCGGGAAUGCGUAGGUGGCAAGCGUUGUCCGGAAUUAUUGGGCGUAAAGGGCUCGCAGGCGGUUUCCUAAGUCUGAUGUGAAAGCCCCCGGCUCAACCGGGGAGGGUCAUUGGAAACUGGGAAACUUGAGUGCAGAAGAGGAGAGUGGAAUUCCACGUGUAGCGGUGAAAUGCGUAGAGAUGUGGAGGAACACCAGUGGCGAAGGCGACUCUCUGGUCUGUAACUGACGCUGAGGAGCGAAAGCGUGGGGAGCAAACAGGAUUAGAGACCCCAGUAGUCCCUGUCUCUUAUAC